rnacentral:rRNA from 1 species
AUGGACCCGCGGCGCAUUAGCUAGUUGGUGAGGUAACGGCUCACCAAGGCAACGAUGCGUAGCCGACCUGAGAGGGUGAUCGGCCACACUGGGACUGAGAC